GACGAACGCGGCGGCGUGCCUAAUACAUGCAAGUAGAACGCUGAAGGAGGAGCUUGCUUCUCCGGAUGAGUUGCGAACGGGUGAGUAACGCGUAGGUAACCUGCCUGGUAGCGGGGGAUAACUAUUGGAAACGAUAGCUAAUACCGCAUAACAGUAGAUGUUGCAUGACAUUUGCUUAAAAGGUGCAAUUGCAUCACUACCAGAUGGACCUGCGUUGUAUUAGCUAGUUGGUGGGGUAACGGCUCACCAAGGCGACGAUACAUAGCCGACCUGAGAGGGUGAUCGGCCACACUGGGACUGAGACACGGCCCAGACUCCUACGGGAGGCAGCAGCAGGGAAUCUUCGGCAAUGGACGGAAGUCUGACCGAGCAACGCCGCGUGAGUGAAGAAGGUUUUCGGAUCGUAAAGCUCUGUUGUAAGAGAAGAAACGAGUGUGAGAAGUGGAAAGUUUCAACAACUGUGAACGG
rnacentral:rRNA from 1 species